GACGAACGCUGGCGGCGUGCUUAACACAUGCAAGUCGAACGGAAAGGCCCUGCUUUUGUGGGGUGCUCGAGUGGCGAACGGGUGAGUAACACGUGAGUAACCUGCCCUUGACUUUGGGAUAACUUCAGGAAACUGGGGCUAAUACCGGAUAGGAGCUCCUGCUGCAUGGUGUGGGUUGGAAAGUUUCGGCGGUUGGGGAUGGACUCGCGGCUUAUCAGCUUGUUGGUGGGGUAGUGGCUUACCAAGGCUUUGACGGGUAGCCGGCCUGAGAGGGUGACCGGCGACAUUGGGACUACGAUACGGCGCAGACUGCAACGGGAGGCAGUAGGGGGGAAUCUUGCACAAUGGGCGGACGCCUGAUGCGGAGACGCCGCGUGCGGGAUGACCGCUUUCGGGUUGUGAACCGCUUUCGACUGUAACGAAGCGUGAGUGACGGUACUGGGUAAAGAAGCACCGGCUAACUACGUG
rnacentral:rRNA from 1 species